rnacentral:rRNA from 1 species
CCCUUAGAUGUUCUGGGCCGCACGCGCGCUACACUGAUGCAUUCAACGAGUCUAAAACCUGCUCUGAUAGGGGUGGGUAAUCUUUUGAAUGUGCAUCGUGAUUGGGAUAGAUGAUUGCAAUUUUUCAUCUUCAACGAGGAAUGCCUAGUAGACGUAGUUCAUCAGACUGCAUCGAUUACGUCCCUGCCCUUUGUACACACCGCCCGUCGCUCCUACCGAUUGGAUGAUCCGGUGAGCUAUUCGGACUUUCGCAUUGUCGAUUUUCGGCUUUACGAGGGAAAGUCUCGCGAACCUUAUCAUCUAGAGGAAGGAGAAGUCGUAACA